rnacentral:rRNA from 1 species
AGUGAACGCUGGCGGUAGGCCUAACACAUGCAAGUCGAACGGCAGCACAGUAAGAGCUUGCUCUUACGGGUGGCGAGUGGCGGACGGGUGAGGAAUACAUCGGAAUCUACUUUUUCGUGGGGGAUAACGUAGGGAAACUUACGCUAAUACCGCAUACGACCUACGGGUGAAAGCAGGGGAUCUUCGGACCUUGCGCGAUUGAAUGAGCCGAUGUCGGAUUAGCUAGUUGGCGGGGUAAAGGCCCACCAAGGCGACGAUCCGUAGCUGGUCUGAGAGGAUGAUCAGCCACACUGGAACUGAGACACGGUCCAGACUCCUACGGGAGGCAGCAGUGGGGAAUUUUGGACAAUGGGCGCAAGCCUGAUCCAGCCAUACCGCGUGAGUGAAGAAGGCCUUCGGGUUGUAAAGCCCUUUUGUUGGGAAAGAAAAGCAGCAGGUUAAUACCCCGCUGUUCUGACGGUACCCAAAGAAUAAGCACCGGCUAACUUCGUG